UGAUAUUUGUUCUCGUUUUUUUUUCUUGUUUUUUGUUGUUUUAUUCUUUGUAGUGUGUGCUACACAAAUCAUCAAUAAUGGCGCCCAAAUUAUUAAAUGCUA